GAUUAGCUAGUUGGUGAGGUAAUGGCUCACCAAGGCGACGAUCCCUAGCUGGUCUGAGAGGAUGAUCAGCCACACUGGAACUGAGACACGGUCCAGACUCCUACGGGAGGCAGCAGUGGGGAAUAUUGCACAAUGGGCGCAAGCCUGAUGCAGCCAUGCCGCGUGUGUGAAGAAGGCCUUCGGGUUGUAAAGCACUUUCAGUCGUGAGGAAGGUAGUGUAGUUAAUAGCUGCAUUAUUUGACGUUAGCGACAGAAGAAGCACCGGCUAACUCCGUGCCAGCAGCCGCGGUAAUACGGAGGGUGCGAGCGUUAAUCGGAAUUACUGGGCGUAAAGCGCAUGCAGGUGGUUUGUUAAGUCAGAUGUGAAAGCCCGGGGCUCAACCUCGGAAUAGCAUUUGAAACUGGCAGACUAGAGUACUGUAGAGGGGGGUAGAAUUUCAGGUGUAGCGGUGAAAUGCGUAGAGAUCUGAAGGAAUACCGGUGGCGAAGGCGGCCCCCUGGACAGAUACUGACACUCAGAUGCGAAAGCGUGGGGAGCAAACAGGAUUAGAUACCCUGGUAGUCCACGCCGUAAACGAUGUCUACUUGGAGGUUGUGGCCUUGAGCCGUGGCUUUCGGAGCUAACGCGUUAAGUAGACCGCCUGGGGAGUACGGUCGCAAGAUUAAAACUCAAAUGAAUUGACGGGGGCCCGCACAAGCGGUGGAGCAUGUGGUUUAAUUCGAUGCAACGCGAAGAACCUUACCUACUCUUGACAUCCAGAGAACUUUCCAGAGAUGGAUUGGUGCCUUCGGGAACUCUGAGACAGGUGCUGCAUGGCUGUCGUCAGCUCGUGUUGUGAAAUGUUGGGUUAAGUCCCGCAACGAGCGCAACCCUUAUCCUUGUUUGCCAGCACUUCGGGUGGGAACUCCAGGGAGACUGCCGGUGAUAAACCGGAGGAAGGUGGGGACGACGUCAAGUCAUCAUGGCCCUUACGAGUAGGGCUACACACGUGCUACAAUGGCGCAUACAGAGGGCGGCCAACUUGCGAGAGUGAGCGAAUCCCAAAAAGUGCGUCGUAGUCCGGAUCGGAGUCUGCAACUCGACUCCGUGAAGUCGGAAUCGCUAGUAAUCGUGGAUCAGAAUGCCACGGUGAAUACGUUCCCGGGCCUUGUACACACCGCCCGUCACACCAUGGGAGUGGGCU
rnacentral:rRNA from 1 species